rnacentral:rRNA from 1 species
CCUACGGGAGGCAGCAGUGGGGAAUAUUGGACAAUGGGGGCAACCCUGAUCCAGCCAUGCCGCGUGUGUGAAGAAGGCCCUCGGGUUGUAAAGCACUUUCAGUGAGGAAGAACGCCUGGUGGUUAAUACCCAUCAGGAAAGACAUCACUCACAGAAGAAGCACCGGCUAACUCCGUGCCAGCAGCCGCGGUAAUACGGAGGGUGCGAGCGUUAAUCGGAAUUACUGGGCGUAAAGCGCGCGUAGGUGGCUUGAUAAGCCGGUUGUGAAAGCCCCGGGCUCAACCUGGGAACAGCAUCCGGAACUGUCAAGCUAGAGUGCAGGAGAGGAAGGUAGAAUUCCCGGUGUAGCGGUGAAAUGCGUAGAGAUCGGGAGGAAUACCAGUGGCGAAGGCGGCCUUCUGGACUGACACUGACACUGAGGUGCGAAAGCGUGGGUAGCAAACAGGAUUAGAUACCCCGGUAGUC